GUCGAGAUCGAAGACCGGAGUACCGCGCUCCUCCCGGGAGCGCAUCGGGUGGUCCGAAUCCUCGACCCGACA
rnacentral:tRNA from 1 species